UUGUAAGUCAGACGUGAAAGCCUUCUGUUCAACGGAAGAAUUGCAUCUGAAACUACAAACCUUGAGUGUAGGAGGGGAGAAUGGAACUUCUGGUGGAGCGGUGAAAUGCGUAUAUAUCAGAAGGAACGCCGGCGGCGAAAGCGAUUCUCUGGCCUAUUACUGACACUCAGUGUGCGAAAGCUAGGGGAGCAAACGGGAUUAGAUACCCCGGUAGUCCUAGCCGUAAACGAUGGGCACUAAGUAAAGGGGUU
rnacentral:rRNA from 1 species